rfam:Mucor circinelloides f. circinelloides 1006PhL unplaced genomic scaffold supercont1.308, whole genome shotgun sequence.
GGUUGCGUGAUGUAAUUGGUUAGCAUGUAAGACUCUGAAUCUUGACAUCCGAGUUCGAGUCUCGGCGCGACCU